GGACACAUAAUAUAUGCUAAAAAAAAGGUGUUUUAAUAGCUUAUUAAUCUAUACAAUAUAUAACUUCCCCUUUAAACAAUACCAUUUACUUCUGCUCCAUAUCUUCCCAGAGUUGCUUCAUCUUCUACUUGGUGGACUACAAGCCCCUCAGGUUUAAAUGGUGGUACGUGUAGCCAGACUGGGCCUUUGCACUGGGCUGGGCCAUGGCCCUCUCCUCCAACCUCCUGGUGCCACUGUGAUCGAUUGGCAGGAUCUAUGUUGGCACAGGCCGCCUCAGGCAGAUUUAGGAUACUACUGAGGAGAUUACCAUUGUGGGAGCCAGGAGGAGGAAAGCCAAGAGGACAAUUCAGACCCAGAGCUGAGGUGGCUCCAAAAAACCCAGCAACUCAAGGACAAGAAAAUGAGACGACAGAAGCUGUAUUCAAAUGUGAUCCGUGAGCAGAACAAGAAGAUAAGUAGGAUUACCUUUCUGCCGGACGCCAAGAACCCAUUGGGCAGUGACAACAAGGACAACAUGGUUCCCAGAAGGGAUUCUCUCUCUGAUUCUCUCUCUGUCUCUCUCUCUGUCUCUCUCUCUGAUUCUGUCUGUCUGUCUGUCUGUCUGUCUGUCUGUCUGUCUGUCUGUCUGUCUGUCUGUCUGUCUGUCUGUCUGUCUGUCUGUCUGUCUGUCUGUCUGUCUGUCUGUCUGUCUGUCUGUCUGUCUGUCUGUCUGUCUGUCCCUCUCUCUCUGAUUCUCUCUCGGUCUCUCUCUGUUACCUUCCUUCUGGCAGAUAGACAGAGACAGAGAGAGAAUUAGAGAGACUCAGAGAGAGAGAGAGAGUGGGGGUGAGAGAGAAAAUGACUUAGAGGUGAAGAGACAGAGACAAAAAGAGAGAGAGAGAGAAAGAAAGAAAAAACAAAGAGAAAGAGAGAGUACAUUGCUUCAUAACAAGUGCAUCCAUCUCAUCCUGGUUUCCUCAGUCAAUUUGUCCAUCAUCGUCAUCUGUCAGCUUGAGUGUAUUGCAACUCCAGUCCCCACUUUUAGUUAUUUACAGGACCAGUCAAAAGUUUGGACACACCUGCUCAUUCAAGGAUUUUUCUUUAUUUUUAUUAUUUUCUACAUUAUAGAAUAAUAGUGAAGACAUCAAAACUAUGAAAUAACACAUAUGGAAUCAUGUAGUAACCCCCAAAAAAUGUACUCUUAAUGAUCGGCCCCCUUUUUUAAAUGUUCACCUAAAAUGAUGUACCCAAAUCUAACUGCCUGUAGCUCAGGACCUGAAGCAAGGAUAUACAUAUUCUUGAUACCAUUUGAAAGGAAACACAUUGAAGUUUGUGGAAAUGUGAAAUGAAUGUAGGAGAAUAUAACACAUUAGAUAUCGUAAAAGAUAAUACAAACAAAAAAACAUGCCUUUUCAACAACAAAAAUCAUCUUUGAAAUGCAAGAGAAAGGCCAUACAUUCAGAUAGGAUUUUAGGUGUAAUUUAUGUGUUGUCCACAAGAUGGCAGCAGUGUCUGUGCAAAGUGUCAUACAAAUCCAGUGAAGAAUUACAACACUACACAACAUUUUGUAUCAAGUCUGCCAGGAGUUUGCCCAAAUGUGCCAAAUUGGUGAAUUAAUACAUUUUCAAGUACAAAAAAAUAUAAAAAAUGUAACUAGGCAUGUCAGUUAAGAACGAAUUAUUAUUUACAAUGACGGCCUACCCCGGCCAAACCCUAACCGGGAUGAUGCUGGGCCAAUUGUGUACCGCCCUAUGGGACUCCCAAUCAGGACUUGUUGUGAUACAGCCUGGAAUCAAACCAGAGUCUGUAGUGACGCCUCUAGCACUGAGAUGCAUUACCUUAGACCGCUGUGCCUCUUGGGAGCCCAAUUAUAGAGAACAUACAAAAAUGCUAUGGUAAUAUAAAAUUUACGUUUACACCUCCAGAAAUGUCAUACAUGAAGGGUCAUUAGCUUUCCUACAGAAAAUACACUAACCUACACACAUCUAGAUGGCGGGGGCGGGUGGAGCCAGCAGUGGGGUCAAACUGUAGAACCCAGUUCCAACAUUUGAAAAUAAUUUUAUUUAUUUUUUCAAACAAAACUAUGCUACAUUUUAUCUCUGGGACCUCAGGAUGACAAAUCAGAGCAAGAUUACUGAAUGUAAGUACAUUAUUUACCUUCAGAGGUAAAUGUAGCAAACCAGUUGCUGUGAUAAAAGUGCUUUGUUGUUGUGCACUCAAACAAUUGCAUGGUAUUUUUUUGUUGUAAUAGCUAUUGUAAAUUGGACACUGCAGUUAGAUUAACAACAAUUUAAGCUUUUAUUUUUUAUUUUACUAGGCAAGUUAGUUAAGAACAAAUUUGUAUUUAUAAUGACAACCUACCCCGGUCAAACCCUAACCCGGACGAUGCUGGGCCAAUUGUGAUUCCAGUUGUGGUACAGCCUGGAAUUUAACCAGGGUCUGUAGUGACACCUCUAGCACUGAGAUGCAGUGCCUUAGACCGCUGCGCCCCUCGGGAGAUUUCUGCCCAUAUAAGUUAUGUCUAUGUCCUGGAAUUGGCUGUUGGUUACAAUGUCAUUCUAGUGACAUUAUCGCAUAUUGAGCAACAACCAUCCCCUAUUAGGGACACCGAUCCCUUAGAGGUUAAACAAAUCAAAAUAUAUUUUAUAUUUGAGAUUCUUCAAAGUAGCCACCCUUUGCCUUGAUGAGAGCUUUGCAUGCUCUUGGCAUUCUCUCAACCAGCUUCAUGAGUAAUGCUUUUCCAACAGUCUUGAAGGAGUUCCCACAUAUGCUGAGCACUUGUUAGCUGCUUUUCCUUCAUUCUGCGGUCCAACUCAUCCCAAACCAUCUCAAUUGGGUUGAGGUCGGGUGAUUGUGGAGGCCAGGUGAUCUGAUGCAGCACUCCAUCACUCUCCUUGGUCAAAUAGCCCUUACACAGCCUGGCGGUGUUUUUGGGUCAGUGUCCUGUUGAAAAACAAAUUGUAGUCCCACUAAGCGCAAACCAGAUGGGAUGGCGUAUCGCUGCAGAAUGCUGUGGUAGCUAUGCUGGUUAAGUGUGCCUUGAAAUCUAAAUAAAUCACUGACAAUGUCACCAGCAAAGCACCCCCACACCAUAACACCUCCUCCUCCAUGCUUCAAGGUGGGAACCACUCAUGUGGAGAUCAUCCGUUCACAAAUAGUCUCACAAAGACGCAGCGGUUGGAACCAAAAAUCUCAAAUUUGGACUCAUCAGACCAAGGGAUAGAGUUCCACCAGUCUAAUGCCAAUUGUUUGUGUUUCUUGGCCCAAGCAAGUCACUUCUUGGGGCAGCAGGUAGCCUAGUGUUUAGAGUGUUGGGUCAGUAACCAAAAGGUUGCUGGAUCAAAUCCCUGAGAUGACAAGGUAAAAGUCUGAACAAGGCAGUUAACCCACUGUUCUCCCGUAGGCUGUCAUUGUAAAUAAGAAUUUGUUCUUAACUGACUUGCCUAGUUAAACAAAAAAUAUAUAUUCUUAUUGGUCCUUUAGUAGUGGUUUCUUUGCAGCAAUUUGACCAUGAAGGCCUGAUUCAUUCAGUAUCCUCUGAACAGUUGAUGUUGUGAUGUGUAUGUUACUUGAACUCUGUGAAGCAUUUAUUUGGGCUGCAAUCUGAGGUGAAGUUAACUCUAACUGUCACGUCCUGACCAGUAAAGGGGCUGUUUGUUAUUGUAGUUUGGUCAGGGCAUGGCAGGGGGUGUUUGUUUAGGGUGUUUCGGGGUUGUUUGGGUUAUGUUCUAUGUUAGUGUAUUUCUAUGUUAUUUCUAGUUGGUUUAUUUCUAUGUGGUGUUUAUUGGGUUGACCUUCAAUUGGAGGCAGCUGCUUCUCAUUGCCUCUGAUUGAAGGUCCUAUUUAUAGGGGUGUUUGUUCUAUGGGGUUGUGGGUAGUUAUUUCCUGCUUUAGUGUUUGUUGCACCUGACGGGACUGUUUGGAGUCGUUUGUUUUGUAUACGUGUUUAUUUUGUUUUUCCUUCUUCAAAUAAAAAGAAGAUGAGUAUACAUUUUCCCGCUGCGUUUUGGUCCACUCCUUACGACAAUCAUGACAGAACUACCCACCACCAACGGACCAAGCAGCGGAGGAAGGAGCAGCAGCAGAGCUAUAAGGAAUCAUGGACAUGGGAGCAGAUAAUAGCGGGAGAAAGACCAUGGAGGAAGGCUGGAGAGGACCGGGAAAGUUAUGUGGGUACACGACUGGCAAGGAAGCCUGAAAGGCAGCCCCAAUAAUUUUUUUGGGGGGGGCACACGGGAAGAUUAGCUAGGUCAGGCAAUAGACCUGAGCCAACUUCCCGUGCUUAUUAUGGGGAGCAACGGAUCAUGAGAGCACCGGUGUAUGCGGAAGUGCGCACGAUCUCGCCCAUGCGCACGCACAGUCCGGUGCGAGCGAUCCCAGCUCCUCGCAAGUGCCGUGCAAGAGUGGGCAUCCAGCCGGGUAGGAGUAUGCCUGCACAGCACAUCUGGCCACCAGUGCGCCUCCUAGGCCCAGGCUACCCUACGCCUGCUCUACGCACGGCAGCCAUCAGGCCUCUGCACAGCCCAGUUCGCCCUGUGCCAGCACUCCGCUCGUGCAGGGCUGCUGUUACCAUCCAGCCAGGGCGGGCCGGUGCCUACUCAUGACCCAGUGUAUCCAGUUCCCGCUCCUCGCACUAGCCUUGAGGUGCGUGUUUCCAGUCUGGCGCCUCCAAAGCCAGCACCAGGCCUCCAGUGCGUCAGCCCAGUCCAGUGCGUCCUGCUCAUGCUCCUCGCACAUGCCCUGUGGUGCGUGUCCCUAGUCUGGCGCCUCCAAAGCCAGCCCUACGCAUCAGGCCUUCAGUGCGCAGUCCUCGUCCAGAGCUUCCGGCGACAGUGCCCCAUCUAGAGUCGGACCUCCAGUCCGGAGCUCCCCAGAGUCGGACCUCCAGUCCGGAGCUCCCCAGAGUCGGCCCUCCAGUCCGGAGCUCCCCAGCGACGCGCAUCAGCCCAGAGACUUUGGGAGGGGUAAAUAAUAAUAAGCAGUUAGCGGGGGUGGACAGGUUAGGUUGGGGAGUAAGGCCGGAGCCUGAGCCACCUCCGUAGUUGUGGGGGGGGGCUGUUUGUUAUUGUAGUUUGGUCAGGGCGUGUUUGUUUAGGGUGUUUCGGGGUUGUUUGGGUUAUGUUCUAUGUUAGUGUAUUUCUAUGUUAUUUGUAGUUGGUCUAUUUCUGUGGUGUUUAUUGGGUUGACCUUCAAUUGGAGGCAGCUGCUUCUCGUUGUCUCUGAAGGUCCGAUUUAUAGGGGUGUUUGUUCUAUGGGGUUGUGGGUAGUUAUUUCCUGCUUUAGUGUUUGUUGCACCUGACGGGACUGUUUGGAGUCUUGUUUUGUAUACGUGUUUAUUUUGUUUUUCCUUCAAAUAAAAAGAUGAGUAUACAUUUUCCCGCUGCGUUUUGGUCCACUCCUUACGACGGCCGUGACAUUAACGAACUUAUCCUUUGCAGCAGAGGUAACUCUGGGUCUUCCUUUCCUGUGGCAGUCCUCAUGAAAGCCAGUGUCAUCAUAGCGCUUGAUGGUUUUUGCGACUGCACUUGAAGAACUUUCAAAGUUCUUGAAAUGUUCCGUAUUAACUGACCUUUGUCUUAAGUAAUGAUGGACUGUCGUUUCUCUUUGCUUAUUUGAAGUGUUCUUGCUAUAAUAUGGACUUAGUAUUUUACCAAAUAGGGCUAUCUUCUGUAUACCAUCCGUACCUUGUCACAACACAACUGAUUGGCUCAAACGCUUCAAUUAAGAAGGAAAUAAAUCCCACAAAUUAACAAGGCACACCUGUUAAUUGGAAUGCAUUCCAGGGAACUACCACAUGAAGCUGGUUGAGAGAAUGCCAAGAGUGUGCAAAGCUGUCAAGGCAACGGGUGGCUACUUUGAAUAAUAUAAAAUAUAUUUUGAUUUGUUUAACAUGAUUCCAUAUGUGUUAUUUCAUAGUUUUGAUGUCUUCACUAUUAUUCUACAAGAUAAAUAAACCCUGGAAUGAGUAGGUGUGUCCAAACUUUUGACUGGUACCUAUAACAAACGAAUCCCCAUGCACUGAGAUUGCGAGUCUGAGAACGAUUAAGGACACGUCAACAUUCUGUCACAAAGUUGAAUCGCCAAGUUCACUCAGCUAUAUGAAAGCCUAGUUGUUUUUCAGCUCUUGCAGGUGUACCUUUCCCUCCCCCUCCAUCUCCAAACUAUUCUUCUGUAAAACUUUACCUGAAGCCUACAGGUAUAAUGCUUUAUUACAUGUUAUAAGCAUGAGCUUUUAUGUCAUCUUAAGUCUUUAUAGCAAAUGUUCAAUUGACUCAAGGUGGCUGUUAUUUAGUCAAGAGGCAUGAUAUAGGAAAUUACAAGAGCAUCAUACAGUCUUACAAUUAAUUAUAAUGGUACUGUACUGCAUCGUCAUUAUACCUGUCAGUGAUAAAUAAAAUGUUACCUUUAUUUCCAUUGUGUUUCAGGCCCUGGAGUAUGCCAGGUGCAUCCUGCGGCCCAAGGUGGCGCCCCUGCCUCAGCAGACCAAGACCAGACAGCCAGAGUGGGCCCAGGGGCCACACUCGCCUCCUGGAGGGCUUCGACAUAUCCCAGCUGGCCACACUGGAGGCCCUGAGGAAACGGCGAGAGCAGGAGAAACAGACCGUGGCCCACUUCAAGGUGGUGCACACCAUCUGACACUACAUCGGCCCAGUUACUUUAUAACACACAGGAGUCACGCAACAACAGGUUUCCCCUUACAGCUGACACGGCCAUUAAACUUUUGGGGAAAGGCAGUAUAUGGACUAUAUAGACAAUAUGGAGGAAUAAGCAGGGAAAUAUUGCAGCAAUCGUUCAUUCAUGCUUGUGUCAACUGCAAUUUGGCGUGUUACAGAGUAGCCUGUCUGUAUGUGGUUGUUGACAUAAGCAUUUACUGUAUGAAUGCAUUUUUACGACCAAUGAAGUUGUAGCUUGCGCGUUUGUUCAUAUGAUUUGAUGUACUUAAACCAUAGGUAAACAUGGUACUUAUACCAUACCGUAAUUUAUACUAUAGGCAAACAUGGUACUGUAAUCCCAAACCAAGUGUUGUUGUUUUUUGCUCAAAGUUGAUAAGGUAUUGUUUGAAUAAUAUGCAAAUGUUUGUACACAUUUCAGAUAAAUAAUGCUCUGGCUAUUGAUAAUGAUUCCACAAUUCCUUGAAUAUUCCUCUGCUAAUAUUCCUUACAAUUGCUCAUGAGUCAUGACUUGAGUGCACAUGACCUGAAAAUGUUUAAUACAGCUGCUCAAGUCAAUUCAGGCAUAACACAUAUGGUUUGUGGUUAUACAAUAUUACACAUACAGUGUUAAUAGUACAAUACUAUAUACAAUCUGAGAGAACAUGUAAACCUUCUAAAGCUUUGUGUAGGUUGCUUGAUGACAAGGAAUCGGCAACUGAGUACAAAGACCAUGGCUAGACCAUUGGUAGAGAUCUAAUGGUCAACUUGUUGUCAUAAUGACAAAGGACACUUAUGGAAACACUAAAAAACAUAGUGCGCUCCGCCUUUUCUCUUUUUUUUAUAGUUUUGAUAGCACUCGACAUUGAAACAUCCUUUGUAAAUUCAACAAUACAUCAUUAAAUCGGAAAGCUUUUGGUACUGCGGGCUAUAUUGUCUCAUUUUUGGGGGGUACUAGUCGGUAAUUCACACGUUGGCAUUUUAUCCACAUUUCCAAUUUGCCCCCUUUCACCCUCUCACGCACCUGGUUGCUGCUGUUAAUCUGAAAUAAUCUGCUCUUUUUGUUCCGUGCCUGAUUAUUUUCUCCCUGUAUCCCCCCCGUCUCUACUUCCAGAUACAAAUGAGUCAAACAAAGAUGACCCUUUGAAGCCCACCUGAUUAGGGCUCCGUAAACUAGUGAUAAUUUUCCCACCAAUAAAACAAAUCUCAAGCACCCCCCAUUUCUUUAAUAGAGCCGUCAGAUCAUUAUAAAAGAGCUAUUUACUCCUAUGUAAUAUUUUAAUUUGAUUAUAGUCUCUAUUUAACCCAUCAUGGCGUCUUUGAUGCACUGUGUUUUUAGUGUUUAAGCCUCAGAUGCGUGGGGGUAAUAAUAAAUACCGGACCUUUUGAAUUAAUGAGAAACACUGCCUAUCCAGACCAACUCUCUUUGCAUCUUUCCCCCCACCCCUCUUUUGCCAUAGAAAUCCAGUUAAUUGAAGGAGUCUCUCACCACCACACAUGAAGGGGGCUAAAUUAGCAUCCCUUUCUGCCGAUUGGAAUAGCCGGGGCAGACGCGCACGCUUUGAUGUGAGGACAGCGCCUAAGUAGGCGGCAGGCCCCUGAAAAUGAGCUGAUGGCCCCACUAUUAGGCCCAAAUGCAGAUGCAUCCAUGUGUUGCAAAACGCUUAAUCUUUUAAUUGAUCACCUUCCGCACAGCCUAUUCUCUUCAACGCUUUUUAUUUUCUCAGUAAAUCUGCAUCACGUUUUGAAAACGACAUGAUUUGCUUUUCAAAGGGCGGGAGAGUGCUACAUAUCCUGUUUGGAUGAGCCUGUUAAUGUAAACCUUCUAAAUUGAUGGGGAGCUGCCUCAUGGUGCACAUUUAAAUGACUGAAUAAAUUAAAUAAUAGCUGGUAUUGAUGAUUUUGGCCUGUGCGCGUGUGUGUGCGUACGUGUGUGUGGGUAUGGUGUGAAUGCAUGUGUGUGUGAGUACACAUGUGCAUGCUUUUAAAGGCUAAGGCCCAGAAGGCUAACUGCAAGUGUGACUGCAACUGCAAGUGUGGGUAUAGAUGUGGGUACAUAGACCCGCUAGACACUGCGGCCCCUCAUGAUAAGUUCUGAUUUUUUGUGGCCAUCAAAGUUGCCCAUGCCUGCUAUAGAUGAUCACAGUUCACUAAUUGAGCUAUGACCGAUGACAAUUGAAGUUCCAUAACAUUCUGAUCAAACCAAUGUGUUCCCAGUGGUACCCUGAGCAGUGCUCUGGCCAGGUUCUCCAUGAUUAGGUUUUUGGUCUCAGGGAUAACCUCUAUGGAUUGGAAUCCACCCACUCACUCUUGUUACACUACUACUUUGGGUGUGCCAGGUCAUCUAGAGGUUAGAGAGGCGGUCCAGCAGCCGGAGGGUUGCCAGUUCGAAUCCCAAGUCUGAUAGGAAAAUCUUGUGGCAAGUGGCAUGCCAUCUCCUGCCAUUGCACCCUUGAGCAAAGCACUUAACCCAUAAUCUGCCCCAGGGGCAGACCCUGGCAUGCAACUCCUUGGUGUGUGUGUGUAGGUGUUUGUGCUUCUCUGGGGUUUGGGUUAAAAGGCAAAUUGUCUGAAAAUAAAAUGGAUAAGAAAGUAUGUUUCUACUAGAGAUGAUACCUAAAGAAAAAUGUAUCACUCAUUGCCAUAGCAGAAGAAAUUAGCGUAGUUACUCAAAUGGAAACCAUUAUAUUUCUAUGUUUACUCACCUGUAGGCCUAAAGGGUAGCGUUUGCAUGCUACUGGUGAGUGUUAUCUAAGGUGAGUAUCUUCUAAGAAUGUGUACAAACAACAAACCAAUUCAAUGGGCCAAAGGCCCUACUGAUCCUUACCAUAUUCAGAGAAAAUGAAAAAUGGGUGUGUUACGAAGGAGUUACUUUCACCAAGACAUGGACAUUAUUUUCAAUAUUGUGAUUUAAACUCCCAUCAAUUACUGUUGUGUUUUGAUUAAAACAUGCUAUGCGUUA
rnacentral:lncRNA from 1 species